GGUUCGAUUAUGGCUCAGAUUGAACGCUGGCGGGAUAGCCUACACAUGCAAGUCGAACGGCAGCACGGACUUCGGUCUGGUGGCGAGUGGCGAACGGGUGAGUAAUGUAUCGGAACGUGCCUAGUAGCGGGGGAUAACUACGCGAAAGCGUAGCUAAUACCACAUACGCCCUUCGAGGAAAGCGGGGGGACCUUCGGGUCUCGCACUAUUAGAGCGGCCGAUAUCGGAUUAGCUAGUUGGUGGGGUAACGGCUCACCAGGGCGACGAUCCGUAGCCG
rnacentral:misc_RNA from 1 species